ACUGGCAGGAUCAACCAGGUAGCACGUCCUCCUCGACAAGCCAACGUCGGCUUCCGCACGAAGCUUCAGCCGGGCCAACUGUCGUUGUUUCGAAGGGACCGAGUUUGAAAGGAACGAGGCGCCGAAGCAGCAUCGUCCUAUACCGUCAGCGUCAUCCGAGACCGAUCGCACAAGCGAGGUAGCCUUGGUGGCACAAGCCUAUGAGGCCGGUACCACGAGGCAACGCCACUCGUGCUACAUAGCUGAAGCGCCACACCCGAAAGGUGCACGCAACAAAGGCAACAUGUAGCGAAUGCAACUUCCCGAUGAACGGGUAGCAGCACGCAA
rnacentral:misc_RNA from 1 species